ensembl:snoRNA
CUCCAGUGAUGAACUCAAAUUAGUGCCACGUGUCUGGGCCACUGAUCUAAGUGAUGGGAUUGAGGGACUGAGGAG